GGCGGGACCGGCAGAGGGCUCCCUGCGGCGCCUCUCGAGGCGCGAGCGACCGGAAGGAAAGGCGGGAGGCUCAGCAGCGCGGCGGUGGGAGGAGCGCGCCCUUGCUGAUUUCAUGGAGGCCCGGGGCCGCGGGCGCUGUUCUCCUUCCUGUGCCGAGUGUGGUUUGCUAUCAAGCGGUGGCAGUUCAGCCACAAUCAGGGGCAGGGGGAGGGAGAGGCCCCCCGAAGAGGCAGAGGCCCUGCCUCGGCCGCCCUGAGCCUGGAAGCAUCAUGUUGCCUUUUAAUAUGGAGCAUGUGCCAUAGCUCUCCAGGAGAACCCCUCUGUGUCACAGCGAACCUCAGUCACUGACACUCAAAAGAAGGAAUUAUUUCAACUCAAUAAUAAACAAAUAACCCUAUUUUAAAAUCAGCAAAGGGUGUUACCACAUUUCCACAGAAGGUAUACAAAUGGCCAGUAAUCAUGUGAAAAGAUGCUUGAUAUCAUUUGUCAUCAGGGAAAUGCAAAUCAAAACUGCAAUGAGAGGCCAGGCGCUGUGGCUCACACCUGUAAUCCCAGCGCUUUGGGAGGCUGAGGCAGGUGGAUCGCUUGAGCCCAGGAGUUCAAACCCAGCCUGACCAACAUGGUGAAACCCCGUCUCUACAAAAAAAUACAAAAAUUAGCCGGGCACAGUGGCCUGUGCCUGUAAUCCCAGCUACUCAGGAGGCUGAGGCAGGAGACUCACUUGAACCCAGGAGGCAGAGGUUGCAGUGAGCCGAGAUUGUGCCAUUGCACUCCAGCCUGGGUGACGGGAGUGAAACCCUGUCUAAAAAAACCCCAAAAACAAAAACUACAAUGACAUAUCACUUUAUAUGCACUAGGAUGCCUAGCAUCAAAAGGUCAAAUAAAACAAGUAUGUGGAGAAACUGCGACCCUCAUACACUGCUGGUGGGAAUGUAAGAUGGUGCAGAAACUUUGGAAAGGAGUCUGGCAGCUCCUCAAAAGGUAAAAGCAUGGAGUUAUCAGGUGGCUCACAAAUUCCAUUCCUAGGGACCUAAAAGAAAUGAAGACAUGCUAUACAAACACCUGAAGACAUGCUAUACUAACACCUGAAGCCAUGCUAUACUAACACCCGAACAUGAAUGUUCAGAACAGCAUCAUUCAUGAUUACCAAGAAGUGGAAAAAACCCAAAUGUCCAUCAACUAACUGACGAGUGGAUACAGUAUAUCCAUGCAGUGGAAUUUCUUUUUCUCUUUCUUUCUUUCUUUUCUUUCUCUUUCUUUCUUUCUUUUUCUUUCCUUCUUUCUUUCUUUCUUCUUUCUUCUUUUUUUUUUUUUUGAUGGGAUCUCUUUCUGUCACCCAGGCUGGAGUUCAGUGAUGCUAUCUCAGCUCACUGCAACCUCCUCCUGGGCUCAAGCGAUCCUCCCACCUCAGCCUCCCCAGUAGCUGGGACCACAGGUGCCUGCCACCACACCCGACUAAUUUUUUGUAUUUUUGGUAGAGAUGGGGUUUCUGCCCAGGCUGGUCUUGAACUUCUGAGCUCAAGCGAUCCACCCGCCUCAGCCUCCCAAAGUGCUGGGAAUACUGGCUUGAGCCACUGCGCCCAGCUAUGCAGUGGAACAUUUCUCAGCCAUAGAAGAGAAUAAAGUACUGAUACAUGCUACAACAGGGACAAACUUUGAAAACAUUAUGCUAAGUGAAAAAAGUCAGUCACAAAUGAUCACAUGUUACAUGAUUUCAUUUACAUGAAUUGUUCAGAGAAGGCAAAUCUGUAGAGAGAGAAAGAUUAGUGGUUACCUAGGUCUGGGGGUUUGGGGGAAAAUGGGAGUGACUGGUAAUGGGUAUGGGGUUUCCUUUUGAGGUUAUGAAAAUGUUCUAAAAUUGUGGUGAUGGUUUCAUGAGUAUGUGAACAUGCUAAAAGCAAUUGCCUUGUACACAUUAAAUGCGUAAAUUAUAUGGUAGAUGAGUUAUAGCUCAAUAAAGCUGUUCUAUAAAAAUAAACCACUGGGCACUGUGGCUCACGCCUGUAAUCCCAGCACUUUGGGAGGCCGAGGCAGGCAGAUCACCUGAGGUCAGGAGUUCGAGACCAGCCUGACCAACAUGGUGAAACCCUGUUUCUACUAAAAAUACAAAAUUAGUUGGGUGUGGUGGUG
rnacentral:lncRNA from 10 species